UACAGAGGGGGCAAGCGUUGUUCGGAAUUACUGGGCGUAAAGGGCGCGUAGGCGGCCUUCUAAGUCAGACGUGAAAUCCCCGGGCUCAACCCGGGAACUGCGUCUGAUACUGGAGGGCUUGAAUCCGGGAGAGGGAUGUGGAAUUCCAGGUGUAGCGGUGAAAUGCGUAGAUAUCAGGAGGAACACCGGUGGCGAAGGCGGCUCUCUGGACGGUGACUGACGCUGAGACGCGAAAGCGUGGGGAGCAAACAGG
rnacentral:rRNA from 1 species